CUGCUCCUUUAAUGAUGGACUGGAAGGCUAACAUAAAUUUGCAAAAGAAUACUAUUUAUACAAAGAAGGAAGCAAAUGCAUGUUUUCUCUCUGCUUGUUUGGUUGGUGAUAAGGGAGCAAUGAGACACUGCUUUACCAGCGUGAGCAGCAGCAUCAGCAGUGUCAGUAGGCCACACCUCCCCGGGUGCCAGAGAAUCAGAUUAAGCCUCCACUACUGCACAGUACUGUGCUGCUAAACCAAGAAGGUUAUGUGUAUUACAUACACUUGAAACUUGCUAUAUUGUCAGUUAAAAGGGGUUUAUUGGAUCAUGAUCCCAUGAUAAUUAGAUAAAUCAUUAUAUUCCUGAAUAAGGUAGGACUAAGGGCAUAGUUCUGAGAUCUGCCAAGGAGACAUCAAUGCAGUUUGAUGAUAAUCAUUGAGAAAGUCAUUGAAAUGAAAUUCUUCAAAAAUUAAUAGUGAAAAGUAUUAAGAUGCAAGUUGAAGUAGGGAUAAACAAAAAGAAAUAACUAACCUUCAACAUGAACUAGAAUUAUUACUGUAUUUAUUAGAAAAGUAUUUUCUUUGUAACAUGAUUGUAGUGUAUUGUGAAUUCCCAUUUGAAAGACAAAACAAUUCCCCUAAAAGUCUUCGUUGCUUAAAUUAUUUAAAUUAACUUCAAAUUGUGCUUUACUUCACAAGCCUAGAAUCACGGCACAACCGUACAGGAAAGCUUAUAAAAUUUUGAAAUGCUCUAAUAAUUUUAAUUCUUGUAGAAGCCUGGUACCUUCCAAAUUAAAGUGCUAAUAAAAAAUUAGCACUGAAAUUUAAAUCUCCAUGAGCAAUAGAGAAUGAUUUAAAAUUAUUGAAGCUUUUCAAUUUUUUAUGAGUUUUCUAUGUGGAAAUGAGUCAAAUUGCUUUUUUGGUAACAAAGUAGUCACUUAAAAUAUGCAAACAAUUGUCAGAACUGUAAAAUUUCCAGAAAAUGCCUGUCCUGUUUGUCAUGAAGGAAAACAAUUAGCACACAUUAAUGAUAUCAUUUAUUAGUUUGCUGGGAGGCCAAACUCUCUAGACCAACUAGUUAGCUAAAGUUCCUUUCCCUGAGGCCAUGCCUUGCAGAGAGGUUGGGAUCAACAGCAAGGACAGAAACUUUCUCAAAAAUAAACAGACCCUGAGCAAAGGCCGCCUGGAUCCUAAGUCUUCCCGUUUUCCACCCAGGUGUCUGUCUUGAGCGUAAGGCCUGUUGGAUAAACAUGAAAAGUCUGAAUCACUAAACAUAUUCAAAAAUAGUGGAAAUUAUCUAUUCCCUUCCUACUUCGAAAGAAAUGGGUUUCUCGUGCAUCUGAAUACAGUCCCUCUAGCAAGGCUGCUGUGCAUUAGUAUCAAUUGGAAAAGCUGUGAUUUACAGAAAGUCUGCGAUUCCCCGUUUUCUAAUUCACAUGUUACAGCUCUUUUCUGACAUUGUGAAAUGUAGUGGAGAUAUUUCAUGUAUUCAGGGAUGUAGUGCUCUGUAAUUCCUUUAAGAGUAAAAAGAUCAGCAGUGAGAAAAAAUUAAGAACAUAAAUUGUCUCUUUUCCAUCAGUAAUCUUCAGUGUGGUUUUGCUUCACUGCAGCAAUCCCGUCCUUAGCGGUACUCUUGUCCGCGACUCUAGAAAUAUCAAGAGAAGUUUUUGAAAACUUAAGUUUUUGAGUUUCAUAGUCAUACUCUAUAAAGUUUAAGAUAAAACACAUUUUUGUACUAAAAAUGCCUAAGACAUAUGAUAUCUGCAUUAAAUUGACCCAUUUCCACCUGAGAAUCAUAUUAAUUAUUUAUAAAUGUUUGUCUUUCCUGAAUGAAUCAUUAAGGAAAAAGGAAGGUCUGCUCUAGCAUUUGUCUCCCAGAAGAAAAUAAGUCGUCAUGCUCAGAGCAGUUUAACCCAUCAAUAUUUAUUAUUCCAAAAAUACCUCCUUUCAUAAAAGUUACCCUUGCUGUAAUUUCCCCAAAUGUCUAUUACCUAACAUUGUUUAAAUCUGCAAGGUAUAUGUACGUAUGCUCACGUGUGUGUUUC